UACGUAGGGUGCAAGCGUUAAUCGGAAUUACUGGGCGUAAAGCGUGCGCAGGCGGUUUUGUAAGUCUGACGUGAAAUCCCCGGGCUUAACCUGGGAAUUGCGUUGGAGACUGCAAGGCUAGAAUCUGGCAGAGGGGGGUAGAAUUCCACGUGUAGCAGUGAAAUGCGUAGAGAUGUGGAGGAACACCGAUGGCGAAGGCAGCCCCCUGGGUCAAGAUUGACGCUCAUG
rnacentral:rRNA from 1 species